rnacentral:piRNA from 1 species
UAUAAUAAAUAAAUCUUUAAAAAGUUGGGU